rnacentral:rRNA from 1 species
AGUUUAGUCAUGGCUCAGGAUGAACGCUAGCGGGAGGCUUAAUACAUGCAAGUCGAACGGUAACAGUCCGAACCUAGUUUGGAGCUGACGAGUGGCGCACGGGUGAGUAACGCGUACGUACCUGCCUUAUACUGAGGGACACACACUGGAAACGGAGUAAAUACCUCAUAGUCUCGUAAGAGUAAAGCUUAGGCGGUAUAAGAUGGACGUGCGUUAGAUUAGGUAGUUGGUGAGGUAGAGGCUCACCAAGCCGACGAUCUAUAGGGGGCGUGAGAGCGUGAUCCCCCACACGGGUACUGAGACACGGACCCGACUCCUACGGGAGGCAGCAGUAAGGAAUAUUGGACAAUGGGCGCAAGCCUGAUCCAGCCAUGCCGCGUGAGUGACGAAGGCCUUAGGGUUGUAAAACUCUUUCGCUAGGGAAGAUAAUGACGGUACCUAGUAAAGAAGCCCCGGCUAACUCCGUGCCAGCAGCCGCGGUAAUACGGAGGGGGCUAGCGUUGUUCGGAAUCACUGGGCGUAAAGCGCGCGUAGGCGG